UCCAGAACCUCCAACCAAGAGCAAGAGGCAGGUUGGCAGCAGAUGCUUGAAGAAUAACACAAAGCGGAGAGCAAGAUUCAAAAAAAAAAAAAAAAACCACACACACACACGCACAGAAGCAGCAGAGACUGUCACUAACUAACAAUUUAUAUUUUACCAUGAAAUAAACUUUAAUAUAAAACAAACUUUGAAAAAAUGAAGAUUUAAAAACACCAUGGAAGACAAUAUAAUUCUUUUUUAAAAAAUACUAAAUUUGGUAUUACAGGCCUGUAAUCGCCAUACUAAGGAGGCAGGGUCAGUCAUAAAGGACUCCAGAGGUAAAGGCAGGCAGAUCAUCCCAACUACAUAGUUAGCUCAAGCUCAGCUGAGCGACUUGUACUUGAGCUCUUGUCUCCAACAAAAGAAAACAUUUAAUGAAA
rnacentral:lncRNA from 1 species